UCGUCAGGUCCAGGAUCCGACGGGCGAGGAGGCGAUGGGCCGGCGACUGCCCGGCGACGAUGCUUGGAGGCGACGGGCCGGAGACGGACUGGCGACGGCGCGCUGAGGCGGAGAGGGCCGGGCGUGAAGAGCAUGGCGAUGCGGCGACGGGGACGGGGAUGGCGAUGCGGCGACGGGGAUGGGACUGGAUCCGGUUGGAAGUAGUGCUCAGAGGGUGGAUGUGGAAGGAAGGCGGCCGGAGCUUGGAGCACGACGGCUGUCGGAGGUGGCAUGGCGUCAGGUACCUGUGAGAGAGGAGAGAUAUAUACGAGAAGGAGAGGAAAGGGAGCAUGGGAGGAAGGAUAUGGGAUGCUGCAUGGAGAGAGAAUGGAGGUGUCCACCAUUCUCGCGGACCCGUCGUCCAUCACGAGGGCCGGCAACCACCGCCACCGCUGUCGCCAGCAACAGAAGUUGUAGCAGGCGCGACUGGAGAUCCCCUCAUGGGGUCGACGCCGCCCGAGAAGCGUGGGCGUCACCAGCCCGGAGACCCUACUCGCCUUCCCCGAGCACGACGAGGCGCCAGCGACGGAGGAAGAGGCCACCGUGCAGUGCAAGGUGAGCCGCCGGGACGCGAUUUCAUUUUCUUGCAGCUUGUUGGCGUGCUCCUCCCCCCAUCAGCCUCCACUAAGUGGGCGUUGGAGGUCUUCCUCUCUACCUACCCUCCAGCAGCACCUUCGUUGCCCUGUUCUUCUUUCGUAAGAUGAGAUUGUUGUGCCGGAACUGUCCAAUGUCGCCUCCACCUACUUCAUCAGAAGACCAUCUGCAAUCCUACGUUGCUCCACACAUCGCCGGAAAUCCGGGUGCCGGUUCUCCAUGAGGUAUUGCAUACUGAAGCCACAAGGAGAAUUGGAAUUAUGCUAUUUGUUUUUCUAGAAAUGUACGGUUAAUGAAGCAAACACAAACUGAACCUUAAUGUGCUGCUUCCUGAUCUUUAAUUAUUUUUUCAUUAAUUGGUUCAUUUGUUGUGUUUAGUUAGUCUAUCCAUAAGCUAGAGAGACUAAGAAUAAAAAUAACAAUGUUUAAGGUAACGAUUCACUAUGUACAGGUUGCCACGAUAUCAUAUUUGAUUGGGUCACAGUCACAAGUAUUUCAAGGGUACAAUCAAGUUGAGAAGCACCAGCUUAAAUUCAGCAAAACAUUUUUGGUGUGAUCUCAAAUCUGCACACGAUUUUCUGAAACCACAUUACAUAAUAUGAACUAUGGAAGUACACCCAGCCAUUGUGGAUUUCUUAAUUGAGAGACAACUAAUUUCUCAUUGAUUGAUUCAUCAUGCUUACAUGCCCUGUCCUCAGAGACUAACAUUGUUCUUCGAUCUGAUUGAUUCACUUUAGUUACAUUUUUCGGUAGCUUCAGCUCUGUACAUGAGCAUAAAAAGGUGUUUGUCGUUUAGAUGAAUUAACUGUUGGAUACUCCAUAAAAGAGGUACGCCCAUCGCAUGAUUUGGAAGAAUAAGGUGUGUGCUAUACUUGAACAGAUUUCCUUUUGGGAGACCAUUUAGCAUGGUUUGCUGGUUAGCCUCAUGUCUUGAACUAUAUGCAGAAGUGAGAUAGAAUUUGCUGCUUUGUGCUCUCAGGCAGCUGAUUUCGUGUCAUGAACUCGAAAGUUGCAUAUAUUUAGUUCCUCUACACAAGUAGGCACAAACGUCCCUUUUGAUUUAUUUAUUUUGAAUUAGGCCGCGCAAGUAGCAGGCAACAGUUACAAUCGAUGGUGAUGCAGAUUGAAGUAUAGACAAGAUUGCACCUUUAGUAGCAUGAGUAUCAACCAUCAAGUAUGUUUAAUCUCAUUUAUUCAUAAGCUUAAUAUGGUGUAUGGUGAUGCAGAGUUGAAGUACAGUGCAAUCUACACUGGGAUGUCCACAAUCACAAAAGUUUAAUAUGUUACAAAAAUUGCAAAUUUUAUUUUAGAUAAUUGUUGGAUUGAUUAUCACAAAAUUUGCCGCACACGCGGCCUAACUUUGAUCUCAAGGCAGGAUUCUGCUGGUUGGACGAGCUACUAACAAAGACACACUUCUAUUUUGAACUUUUACUUGAAAAAGAUGGACCAUCAGUUACUGAAUAUGUUCGCUAAGCUCUAACAACCUUUUGCUUAUGGUCACCUUGGUUGUUCACAUUGGUGGUGUUGUCUUUUGGUUCAACAUAGUUCAAGUGAAAAUUCAGUGGAACAUGUGGAACAAAGGACGUGGUAUGGAAAGGAAAGCAAAGCCUAAACAGUACAAUGAUGCAGGUUCAGACUUCAUAUGUUGUCUUCCAUACUGCAGGAAUAUGCUAGCAUGGUUGUCUCCUAGAUUUUGAACAUGUCUUUAUUUGUCAUAUAUUGUUGACUUACUGUGUAGUCUGUACUAAUUCUAGGGAGACCGCUUGAUCUCUUAUUGUUCACACUUCAAAAAUUUAUGAUUAUCUUAUUAUUAGUAGUAUCGUCCUUCCAACAUACUAAUUCACAAAUCUUAGUUAAUUAGAAAGGAACUACAUGUUUAUCCAUUCUUUUUCAGAUAUGGUGCUCCUAUAGCUAGGCAAACUAGAUGCAUAUUUCUUUUGGAAAGAAGGGCAGGUGCACUAGAUAAAUGAGAGAUGGUCGGGUGGCAUAGGUGACAAUGUCUUUGUAUUAUCAUCCUAAUAAAAUGUGGUUUUGCUAAUUUAAUGUAUAUUAUUUCACAAAUAUUUGCAAUGGUUAAGAUAGUGCAUAGUGCUAAUGUCGUACCUCAUCUAUUCUAUCUGUGUUGCAUCUUCUCUUUAUUUUGAAUAGAUAGGUUUAUUUUGAUUUACGAACCAACAGUUAACUUCGACUAUUUCUGGAUUUUGAAUGCUAUCUAUGGAGAUCACAUGUGGUUCAUGUAUUGGAAUUGAUGCAACAUUUUAUUUCUAAGUUUUAUUUUAUCUGGGAGAUCCAAUGAUUCAUCUCCCUCUGCAGAGUUGAGUUCAGCAAGAUCAAAAGAAGAUGCACGUCCUGGGCACAAAAGGUCAGUAAGUGUGGGUGCUGAUAUUGGAUCGUCCUGUAUGUCAUUUCGAAAUGAACAAGAGCGUGUUGCUGAAGAAUCGCCUACUGGCCCACACAAAGGACCAUUGCAGAAUAUUGUGAAAGCAUGCUGAUUGUCGAGUGCCUUGAAACCUAAGCAUGCAAUCAAGUACAAAAAGAGAAGCUAUGAGGUGCGCACGGGCAAACAAACAUGAUGUUGAAAACGCAAUCCCUCUCACACAAAAAAAUCCCUCUUAACAAAUUCUCAGUUGGGUCAGCAUGAGUUGCUUAAAUACAUACUAUGGGGUUACAUACAAUAAGGAACCUUAUGGUUAGCCUAGAGCACUACGUAAGAAGCUUCAGAGAUCACAAUAUCAAAUUCGAUAUGGGCAUCAUGUUUAAUUGAUUGCAUUUGCACUUCCUAUGCUCAUAAUAUGUAAGUUUGCUCAUUUUACAUGUUAUUUGUUUUUUUUGUUCCUUGCUCAAGCAACUAGAGAUAAAGGCUAGAAUUAUCAGCCGCUCCCUAAAUGUAUAUAUUAGGUAUUGUGAACAGUCAUAAUUGUUCUAUAACUUAUCUAUUGCACCCUAAUAUAAGUUGGCCUUUAAUUCCA